rnacentral:tRNA from 2 species
CGGGAUGUAGCGCAGUUUGGUUAGCGCGCGUGCCUUGGGAGCACGAGGACGGGGGUUCAAGUCCCCCCAUCCCGACCA